UGCUGUAGGACCCUAUAUUGCCACCAGGUGGCACUAUUGUCCAGUUUUGUGUGCUAAGGAAGAUGACGUUUGCCCUGACAAACACUGACCUAAGGUCUGUUUAGGUUAUUCAAAUCAAUCUAUCUUUCUCUUUCUCUCUGUCAUAUCCAGAAGAAGUGUGAGGCUUCUUACGGGAGGGUACUAUAACCAGUUCUCCAAUGCCAAGUCCUCCAAAGACCAGACCUACUCAAGCAUCUCCUACAGGGAGAGCCCAGUGAAGAAGUACACAGUCAUACACACAGCACUGUCCUCCUCUCACAAACUGGAUAGUUCCUGCAAGAUUUCUACAGUGUGCACGAAGUGUCAAGGAGCGCUGCUGCCUGCUGCCGGUAGACUGGUAAGUAACAAUAACAUGUCACGAGCACAAUGUUACUGUUCCGAAUAAUUCAGGCAAUUGUUUUUGAGUCACACACAAUAAUUAGAAUCUUGAUGACGACUUGAGAUUGAAAAUAUCCAGC
ensembl:lncRNA